UCGAGGGAGAUUAUCGGAUUCGUCUGAUAUGAAACCGGCGCACGGGUGCGUAACACGUAUGCAACCUACCUUUAACUGGGGUAUAGCUCAGAGAAAUCUGAAUUAAUCCCCCAUAACACUACGACAUGGCAUCAUGAUGUAGUUAAAGCUCCGGCGGUUAAGGAUGGGCAUGCGGUACAUUAGCUAGUUGGUGAGGUAAUGGCUCACCAAGGCUACGAUGUAUAGGGGGUCUGAGAGGAUGAUCCCCCACNNUGNUACUGAGACACGUACNAGACUCNUACGGGAGGCAGCAGUAGGGAAUAUUGGUCAAUGGACGCAAGUCUGAACCAGCCAUGCCGCGUGAAGGNUGNAGGCCCUCUGGGUCGUAAANUUUCUUUNAUAAGGNAAGAAACNUCAGGAUGCGNCNUGNGCUGACGGUACUAAANGAANAGGAUCGGCUAACU
rnacentral:rRNA from 1 species